ensembl:lncRNA
AGUGAUUGUAGUGUGUGUGUUACACUGUCCUCAUAUUGUUUUAAGCUGUGAAGGACAUGAGUGUGUUUCAGUUGCCUUCCUCAUGUGGUUGGAUCAACAACUCUAGUGUGUGUUACACUGUCCUCAUAUUGUUGGUAGCAGAACUGUACAGUGUUAAGUUUCUUUAGAAUCUGGUAUAAGGAAGUCGGAUCCUUCUGUAAUAAUGUUCACUGAUACAAAUAUGAUCUGUAGUUAAUUAUCUAGUCGGGAUUUAUACUAGAGAAUGUUUCUGACGUUAUAUUGUUGUCUUUUGUUGCAGACACCAAGUGCUGAGGUCCUGUCUCAGCCUCAUACAGACCAAUCGACACCAAGUGCUGAGGUCCUGUCUCAGCCUCAUACAGACCAAUCGACACCAAGUGCUGAGGUCCUGUCUCAGCCUCAUACAGACCAAUUGACACCAAGUGCUGAGGUCCUGUCUCAGCCUCAUACAGACCAAUCGACACCAAGUGCUGAGGUCCUGUCUCAGCCUCAUACAGACCAAUCGACACCAAGUGCUGAGGUCCUGUCUCAGCCUCAUACAGACCAAUUGCUGGGAAGGUGAGAAGCAAGUGGACAAAUGAUGAAGUAAAGGUUGCUGCAAAGUACCAGGUAAAAGGAAUGUGACUGCUGCUUCCAAGCAGAGCCGGCAGCUCGUAAAGGCAGAGACUGGGUUGCCAUAAAGUACUACAUCCACAACAGGAUCAUUGCAUUAAAAGAAAGAUGCAAGGAAAAAAAGAAACAACCAAGAGAGAUACUUUGUUGCUUCCACAGUUAUGUCAAUAUUGUAGUUUUCUGUAUUGCAUUGUUCUUACUCAUAAAUCUGUGGUUUAUGCUGGG